rnacentral:pre_miRNA from 15 species
GCCGGCUUGGCACUCGCGAACACCGCGAUUUCACUUAUAACUCGCGGCGUUAGCUCUGUGUCAAACCGGCG